rnacentral:rRNA from 1 species
UAGGGAAUCUUCGGCAAUGGACGCAAGUCUGACCGAGCAACGCCGCGCGAGUGAAGAAGGUUUUCGGAUCGUAAAACUCUGUUGUUAGAGAAGAACAAGGACGUUAGUAACUGAACGUCCCCUGACGGUAUCUAACCAGAAAGCCACGGCUAACUACGUGCCAGCAGCCGCGGUAAUACGUUGGUGGCAAGCGUUGUCCGGAUUUAUUGGGCGUAAAGCGAGCGCAGGCGGUUUCUUAAGUCUGAUGUGAAAGCCCCCGGCUCAACCGGGGAGGGUCAUUGGAAACUGAGAGACUGGAGUGCAGAAGAGGAGAGUGGAAUUCCAUGUGGAGCGGUGAAAUGCGUAGAUAUAUGGAGGAACACCAGUGGCGAAGGCGGCUCUCUGGUCUGUAACUGACGCUGAGGCUCGAAAGCGUGGGGAGCAAACAGG